rnacentral:rRNA from 1 species
CCUACGGGUGGCAGCAGUGAGGAAUAUUGGUCAAUGGCCGAGAGGCUGAACCAGCCAAGCCGCGUGAAGGACGAAGGUGCCAAGCAUUGUAAACUUCUUUUGUCGGGGAGCAAAGAGAGUCACGUGUGACUCAUUGAGAGUACCCGAAGAAAAAGCAUCGGCUAACUCCGUGCCAGCAGCCGCGGUAAUACGGAGGAUGCGAGCGUUAUCCGGAUUUAUUGGGUUUAAAGGGUGCGCAGGCGGAGGUGCAAGUCAGCGGUCAAAUUGCGGGGCUCAACCCCGUACUGCCGUUGAAACUGCAUCCCUUGAGUGCGCGAGAAGUAUGCGGAAUACGUGGUGUAGCGGUGAAAUGCAUAGAUAUCACGCAGAACUCCGAUUGCGAAGGCAGCAUACCGGCGCGCAACUGACGCUCAUGCACGAAAGCGUGGGUAUCGAACAGGAUUAGAUACCCGGGUAGUC